rnacentral:lncRNA from 1 species
UUGUAGGGUUUUACACUUCCACCAGCAAUGUAUGAGAAGACCUUUCUCUACAUUUUAACCAAUGAUGAAUGUGUUCUCUUUUUAAUACUGGGCAAAGGAUGAAAAAAGCAUCUGUUUUAAUUUGCAUUCCCUUUUACCAUUUGAAUUUUCUGUGAAUUGCCCAUUAUUAUUUAUCAAACAAGGUUAACUUUGAACAAAAAUAAGUAGUUCCACUACUUUAAAAAAAGUAAAUUGCUGCUAAUAUUAGGAUUUUGAGGUACAUAUACAUUUAAAAAUGAAGUAGAUAAUGUAUAGAACUCACUUUUUUUAAAGAAAGAACUUUCUCUGAAUAAAGAGAUUAACUUUAAAUAAAAGUGUUUUAAUAACAUUAAAGGUUAAGUUUAGUCAGGCACCGUGGCACACACCUGUAGUCCCAGCUACCCAGGAGGCUGAGGCAAGCAGGAUCGCUUGAACCCAGGAGUUCGGGUUACAAUGAGCUAUCAUUGCACCACUGCAUGCCAGCCUGGAUGACAGAGCAAGACCUGGUCUCUAAAAAAGUCUUUUAACAAAGGUUAAGGUUAACCUUUGUUUGGCUUGAAGACCAGAAAAUUAGACACUACAAGAUUGAAGACAGCUAAUUUAAGAAACAUCCACAGCAGUGACUGGCACAAGUUCUUUGAAAAGUGUCUCAGAGAUGUUGACUGUCCUUU